rnacentral:lncRNA from 1 species
ACCGACCAUCCCUAGAAUAAGUGGCAAAGGAUUUGAUGGUUGGUAUUGAGGUCCCAAGUUCGAAUCCUAGUUGAUUCACAUUUCUAGCUAAGUUUAUUUCUAAAUGAAAAUAAACGAAGCGGGUAGCGUGCUACUUAUCUCUAAAAAAAAAAAGACAUUGAACACCUAAUUAAUAUGCUCUAUAUAAGAAAAUCUUAUUAUUGCAUCUGCUAUAAUACAUAUAAUAAUAUACAAAUAUGCCGAAUAAACUAGCGGUUUCGUUUAUUUCAUUUAGAAUUUAAUUAGAAAUAAAAAUGUGAAUCAGCUAGGAUUCGAACUUGCGACCUCGGGUACCAACCACCAAACUCUUUCCCACUUACUCUAGGGACGGUCGGUUAUAUU